AGAGUUUGAUCCUGGCUCAGGAUGAACGCCGGCGGUGUGCCUAAUACAUGCAAGUCGAACGCGUUGGCCCAAUUGAUUGAUGGUGCUUGCACCUGAUUGAUUUUGGUCGCCAACGAGUGGCGGACGGGUGAGUAACACGUAGGUAACCUGCCCAGAAGCGGGGGACAACAUUUGGAAACAGAUGCUAAUACCGCAUAACAGCGUUGUUCGCAUGAACAACGCUUAAAAGAUGGCUUCUUGCUAUCACUUCUGGAUGGACCUGCGGUGCAUUAGCUUGUUGGUGGGGUAACGGCCUACCAAGGCGAUGAUGCAUAGCCGAGUUGAGAGACUGAUCGGCCACAAUGGGACUGAGACACGGCCCAUACUCCUACGGGAGGCAGCAGUAGGGAAUCUUCCACAAUGGGCGCAAGCCUGAUGGAGCAACACCGCGUGAGUGAAGAAGGGUUUCGGCUCGUAAAGCUCUGUUGUUAAAGAAGAACACGUAUGAGAGUAACUGUUCAUACGUUGACGGUAUUUAACCAGAAAGUCACGGCUAACUACGUGCCAGCAGCCGCGGUAAUACGUAGGUGGCAAGCGUUAUCCGGAUUUAUUGGGCGUAAAGAGAGUGCAGGCGGUUUUCUAAGUCUGAUGUGAAAGCCUUCGGCUUAACCCGGAGAAGUGCAUCGGAAACUGGAUAACUUGAGUGCAGAAGAGGGUAGUGGAAACUCCAUGUGUAGCGGUGGAAUGCGUAGAUAUAUGGAAGAACACCAGUGGCGAAGGCGGCUACCUGGUCUGCAACUGACGCUGAGACUCGAAAGCAUGGGUAGCGAACAGGAUUAGAUACCCUGGUAGUCCAUGCCGUAAACGAUGAGUGCUAGGUGUUGGAGGGUUUCCGCCCUUCAGUGCCGGAGCUAACGCAUUAAGCACUCCGCCUGGGGAGUACGACCGCAAGGUUGAAACUCAAAGGAAUUGACGGGGGCCCGCACAAGCGGUGGAGCAUGUGGUUUAAUUCGAAGCUACGCGAAGAACCUUACCAGGUCUUGACAUCUUGCGCCAACCCUAGAGAUAGGGCGUUUCCUUCGGGAACGCAAUGACAGGUGGUGCAUGGUCGUCGUCAGCUCGUGUCGUGAGAUGUUGGGUUAAGUCCCGCAACGAGCGCAACCCUUGUUACUAGUUGCCAGCAUUAAGUUGGGCACUCUAGUGAGACUGCCGGUGACAAACCGGAGGAAGGCGGGGACGACGUCAGAUCAUCAUGCCCCUUAUGACCUGGGCUACACACGUGCUACAAUGGACGGUACAACGAGUCGCGAACUCGCGAGGGCAAGCAAAUCUCUUAAAACCGUUCUCAGUUCGGACUGCAGGCUGCAACUCGCCUGCACGAAGUCGGAAUCGCUAGUAAUCGCGGAUCAGCAUGCCGCGGUGAAUACGUUCCCGGGCCUUGUACACACCGCCCGUCACACCAUGAGAGUUUGUAACACCCAAAGUCGGUGGGGUAACCUUUUAGGAGCCAGCCGCCUAAGGUGGGACAGAUGAUUAGGGUGAAGUCGUAACAAGGUAGCCGUAGGAGAACCUGCGGCUGGAUCACCUCCUU
rnacentral:rRNA from 2 species